AUAACACCUUAAUUAAGGAAGACUUUCAGGGCGUGUUUGGUUCGAAGUCGGAGUCGGAAUCGGAAUCGGAAUCAAAAUAAGCUGGAAUCGGAAUCGGAAUGACUCAUUACCUAAUUCUGUUUGGUUCAUCACCUGAAUCGGAAUCGGAAUAAAUCAUUCUCAUUAUCAGUGUUUGGUUCAGGUGGAUAUAAAAAACGUAAUCAAAUUAAUAUACUAACAUUAUCUUUAUAAUAUAUUAAUUUAAAUUCAAAUUAAAAAUUAAAUAUUAAAAAUUUACAUCAAA
rnacentral:lncRNA from 1 species